rnacentral:tRNA from 1 species
GCCUCGUGGUGUAGCGGUGAGUACUUCGGACUCUGCAUCCGGCAACCCCGAGUUUGAAUCUCGGCGAGGCCU